GCAGCUGGAGCUCCUUGUCCAGGGCCCUGUUGUGGGGACAAAGGCACGAAUCAAUGCAUUCUCGGUUCUUUUGUCCUAAAUAAUUGGCUUCCAUUAAGUGGGCUGGACGAGUGAGGCACUCACAGGAACAGGAGCCUGGAACUUAUGAAAAUGGAUCUGAGGGAGGAGCCAGGAGGAGCAGCUCUGAGGGGCCCCCAGGGGUCCACCCUCCCACCGCCACCUUGGGAAGGGGUCUCGACCUCUCUGGGCUUAGUUUCCGCCUCUGCAGACAGAGUGGGGGCGAGGGGACUGCUGGCUGGGGGUUUUCAAAUUGCACUUGGCAAAGCCCUGGGGGUCCACGGGUCUGGUGCGGAGCAGGACUCCGGACAGACCCUCCAGAACUCAGCUGGAGCAGCCCCUUCUCUCUACCUGUUUCACGUAUUGGGCUGUUUCUUUCCAUUUUAAUUUGAGCAAAAGACACCCAGCCAAAAAAAAAAAAAGCAUUUGAAACCACUAGACAGGGGAUAGUUAGGGUCCAUCCCAGCUCUAGAACUUUCCAGAUCCCACCUUGAGGUUUGGGGGUCUUAGAACAGAGGAGUGGCCCGUCUGUCAUUGAGGGAGGCUUGGUCCAGGUGGCCUGACCUACUGUGGCCACGCUCUGUGACCUUGAGCCAGCCUUGCCUCUGAGCCGCACUCCCUGCAUCGGAGAAAAGAGGAAGUGACGAGUCGGGUGGUGACUGCAGUGACAACCGUAAUCGCCGACCUUUCCAGGUGCACCCCACGUGCCCCGGGUGGAGUGGCCACCCGCGCUCUCUCCUUGAACCCAACCCCAGCGAGACUCGUUCACUCGCUGGCUCAUUAACAGGUACCUACAACCACACUCCAGUUGCCGCGAAGAAACACACCUGUCCUUGCUCUCAUGGAACUUACAGUCUGCUUGGAAACAAAGAAUGAAAGUCGUAAAUCAGUAAAACAGGAAGAUCAAGCUGGGAAGGGGACUGGUGAGCAGUGGGGCUCGGGUCGCGUCUGCCAUUCAAAAUGAGGUGGUCAGGAAAAGCCGCAGGAGAAGGUGCCACUGAGCACAGACCUGAAGGAGCCGUGUGCAGACACAGGAACAGCCACUGCAAAGGCUCUGAGUCAGGGUGUUUGAGGAGCAGCGGGGGCCCAGUGUGACCACAGGCCAGUGGGCGAGGGCAAGGGUGACAGGAGAUGAGCCUUCAAAUGGCACUUGGCAGAGCCCGGGGGCUGCGGAGGUCUGGGACCCGCACGUGUGGGGCCCUGUGUCCACGGUGGGGACCUGGGCUUCACCCUGAGUGAGACGGAGUGUGAGGGAGGGCUGUAUUUGGGGCAGAGGAGCCACAUGCAGGGGUCACUCUCGAAGGAGGAGGGGAGGAAGCGAGCAGUGGUCAGGUUAGGGUGCAUCCUGAAAGUGGAAUGGACAGGAAGUGCUGCAGGGUUGGAGGGGAUGUCAGAGGAAGACGGGGUCAAGGGUCACACCAGGUGUUGGGAGGAGCGACUGGCGGGGGAGUUUCCACUGACUGAGAUGGGGAACCACAAAGAUGCCGGCUGUGGAAGCGUCAGAUGCCUGAAGCCUCUCGGCCGUGGGGCGGAGAUGACCAGGAGGCAGUGGGUGCGACUCUGGGGUCAGAGCACAGUCUGGGCUGGCGUGGGCCACUGUGCACACGGUGUUUGUAUCUCCGAUCCCCGAGGAAGUGGGUGUAGACAGAAGCCCUGGGCCCCCGGAGGGAGAGGCUGGCAGGUGAGGAGGACCCCGCUGAGGACCAGGAGAGCAGACAGCCAAGGGGCGGGAGGAGAAGCAGCGAUGGAGGCCCCCAGAGAGGCAGGGAUGACUUGUGACAAAAGGCCAGUAAGAGGAACCCCGAAAAGUGACACAGAUUUAGCCACAUAGAGGCCGUCGGUGACCCUGACCAGAGUGGCUCUGGCGGAAUAGUGGGGACAAAAACCCGACUGAAGUGGAGAGACGAGGAGCGGAGGCAGCCCGCUCUUGCCGAUGAGGCCUGGACUCUUUCAACGACUCGUGCCCUAAAGCACGACAGAGAGCCUGGCUGUGCAGGCCGACGGGAUGUGGACAGGGUUUUCUUUCGUUGUUUGCUUGAAGGUGGGAGAAGUUUGAGCAUAUUUUUAGGCUGUUGAGAAUGAUCCUGGAAAGGGGAUAAAAUUACUGAUGCCGGAGAGAGAAGACCUGCUGGUGCGAAGUGUUUGUGUGGGUGAAAGGGGCCGGCAUCGAAGCUCAGAUGGACACGGCUUAAAUAGGCUACAAAGAAAGAAACUGAGGCCCAGAGAGGUGAAGUGACCUCCCCUGGGACCCACAGAAUUUUCCAUGUAAUGUUUUUGGACCAUGGUUGACCACAGGUAACUGAAACCAUGGAAAGCGAAACCGCAGAAAGUGGGGGCGGCUGUGUCUGUGACCUGUGCACACACACAUGGGUGUACGUGGAUGAGCCUGCGUGUGCGCUGUUUGGGUGGGCAAUCACUCGAGAGGGCAGAGGGUGGAGACGGCGAGCUUCAGCAUGGACCUGCAUGGUCAGCAGAGGGUGCCCGCCUCCUCGUCCCUGCCCACCCCACUACAGAGGCCCGGGGCUGGCCGUGAGGCCUGUACCAACGGCUGAUACCUACUGUGGAGGUAGAUUCUCGCCUCGGUUGAAAGAUGAGGUAGGGUACAGACCGUGGAAUAUUAUUCAGCCUGGAAAAGGAAGGACAUUCUGACACCUGCCACAACAUGCAUGAACUCUGAGGACCCCAUAUGCAGUGAAAUAAGCCAGUCACAAAAGGACGAACUUUGCACGAUGCCACUCACAUGAAGCCUCUCGAGGAGUUAAACUCACGGAGACAGAGAGUGGAACGGUGGUGGCCGGGGGCUGGGGGAGGAGGUGGUGGGGGUCUUGUUUAAAGGGGACUGAGUGUAAACUUUGUAAGAGGAAAGCGUUCUGAGGAAGGAUGGUAUGACCGCCGCACGACAUUGUCAGUGUACUUAGUGCCGCUGAACUGGACACUUACAAAUGGUCAAGAUGGUGCAUUUCGUGAGAGGGGUGUUUUACCACAAUAAUACAAAAACAGACAGGUGGACCCCAGAGGAGUUCUUGCCUGAGG
rnacentral:lncRNA from 1 species